rnacentral:rRNA from 1 species
GCAGUCUGAUCAGCCAUGCCGCGUGCAGGAUGACGGUCCUAUGGAUUGUAAACUGCUUUUGCACAGGAAGAAACACUCCGACGUGUCGGAGCUUGACGGUACUGUGAGAAUAAGGAUCGGCUAACUCCGUGCCAGCAGCCGCGGUAAUACGGAGGAUCCAAGCGUUAUCCGGAAUCAUUGGGUUUAAAGGGUCCGUAGGCGGUCUUGUAAGUCAGUGGUGAAAGCCCAUCGCUCAACGGUGGAACGGCCAUUGAUACUGCAGGACUUGAAUUAUUGGGAAGUAACUAGAAUAUGUAGUGUAGCGGUGAAAUGCUUAGAGAUUACAUGGAAUACCAAUUGCGAAGGCAGGUUACUACCAAUUUAUUGACGCUGAUGGACGAAAGCGUGGGUAGCGAACAGGAUUAGAUACCCUGGUAGUCCACGCCGUAAACGAUGGAUACUAGCUGUUGGGAGCAAUCUCAGUGGCUAAGCGAAAGUGAUAAGUAUCCCACCUGGGGAGUACGAACGCAAGUUUGAAACUCAAAGGAAUUGACGGGGGCCCGCACAAGCGGUGGAGCAUGUGGUUUAAUUCGAUGAUACGCGAGGAACCUUACCAAGGCUUAAAUGCAGACUGACCGAUUUGGAAACAGAUCUUUCGCAAGA